UGAGAAUCCUGGGAAGUGUAGUUUGUUAAAGGUGCUGGGAGCUGUUGCUCUGUGAGCUUAGCACCCUUAACACACUACACUUCCUAGGAUCCUCC